UACGUAGGGGGCAAGCGUUAUCCGGAAUUACUGGGUGUAAAGGGUGAGUAGGCGGCAUGGUAAGCCAGAUGUGAAAGCCUUGGGCUUAACCCGAGGAUUGCAUUUGGAACUAUCAAGCUAGAGUACAGGAGAGGAAAGCGGAAUUCCUAGUGUAGCGGUGAAAUGCGUAGAUAUUAGGAAGAACACCAGUGGCGAAGGCGGCUUUCUGGACUGAAACUGACGCUGAGGCACGAAAGCGUGGGGAGCGAACAGG
rnacentral:rRNA from 1 species